AACCCAUGUUAAGGACAUUUCAGCAGGAGAUCCUUGAACUUAUCCCAUGUCUCAAAAAGAGAUUCCAAUUCCAUUUGCACAAAGGAAGAUAGCUCAUUCCUGAGCUU